rnacentral:rRNA from 4 species
ACGCUGGCGGCGUGCCUAAUACAUGCAAGUCGAGCGAACAGACGAGGAGCUUGCUCCUCUGACGUUAGCGGCGGACGGGUGAGUAACACGUGGAUAACCUACCUAUAAGACUGGGAUAACUUCGGGAAACCGGAGCUAAUACCGGAUAACAUGUUGAACCGCAUGGUUCAACAGUGAAAGACGGUCUUGCUGUCACUUAUAGAUGGAUCCGCGCCGCAUUAGCUAGUUGGUAAGGUAACGGCUUACCAAGGCAACGAUGCGUAGCCGACCUGAGAGGGUGAUCGGCCACACUGGAACUGAGACACGGUCCAGACUCCUACGGGAGGCAGCAGUAGGGAAUCUUCCGCAAUGGGCGAAAGCCUGACGGAGCAACGCCGCGUGAGUGAAGAAGGUCUUCGGAUCGUAAAACUCUGUUAUUAGGGAAGAACAAAUGUGUAAGUAACUAUGCACGUCUUGACGGUACCUAAUCAGAAAGCCACGGCUAACUACGUGCCAGCAGCCGCGGUAAUACGUAGGUGGCAAGCGUUAUCCGGAAUUAUUGGGCGUAAAGCGCGCGUAGGCGGUUUUUUAAGUCUGAUGUGAAAGCCCACGGCUCAACCGUGGAGGGUCAUUGGAAACUGGAAAACUUGAGUGCAGAAGAGGAAAGUGGAAUUCCAUGUGUAGCGGUGAAAUGCGCAGAGAUAUGGAGGAACACCAGUGGCGAAGGCGACUUUCUGGUCUGUAACUGACGCUGAUGUGCGAAAGCGUGGGGAUCAAACAGGAUUAGAUACCCUGGUAGUCCACGCCGUAAACGAUGAGUGCUAAGUGUUAGGGGGUUUCCGCCCCUUAGUGCUGCAGCUAACG